UACGUAGGGGUCUAGCGUUGUCCGGAUUUAUUGGGCGUAAAGAGCGUGUAGGCGGCCAUGUAGGUGCGGUGUGAAAACUCGAGGCUUAACCUCGAGAUGUCAUCGGAAACCAUUUGGCUAGAGUCCGGAAGAGGAGAGUGGAAUUCCUGGUGUAGCGGUGAAAUGCGCAGAUAUCGGGAGGAACACCAAUGGCGAAGGCAGCUCGCUGGGACGGUACUGACGCUGAGGCGCGAAAGCUAGGGGAGCAAACGGG
rnacentral:rRNA from 1 species